UGCGGCGAGGUUCCAGCAAAGGGGACCUCCGCACCUCCGCCCGGGUCCGAUAAGAAGGAGCAGCUGAGAAGGAGCGGAUAGCUGAACGAAGACCCUUCCUCAACCAGGACAACCCAGGGGCAGCCUGGCGGCGCUGGACUCGGCCAGACGCGGUGAAGCUCAAGGAGAGCCCUUCUCCACCAGGUCUAGGGCUGGACACAGGAAACCUGAAGCAGUAGGCUGGCCUCCCUUUCACCCCAGACUGGCCCUCUGUCUGAGUCCCUCCAGCCACAGUAAAAGGUGUGACAACGGCUGUUUUCCAGGACAGUCCCAAGGUAGCCAGGCAGUCUGCCUCGAAUCAGGCCAUGCAGGUGGGGCCAGAGAUGGUGCAGCCAAGAUGUAUACUAAAACACUGCCAACACACCAGAAAAGGGGACGAAGAGAAAAGUAUCCCGUGGCUUAGCUCAUCCAGAGGCUAAGGGAACAAUAAAGGAGGCUAUGGGCCUGAAAGAAGAAAAGCAAGAGAUACCUGAUUACAUGGACAACAGCUCCCAGCCUCACCACAGACGUCUUCACAGCCAGUGAAGCCCCCAGGCCUCCUUUUUCCCAUCAUAUCGCUUCUUUGCAAUAAAGCUCAAAUUCAACCCCGA